rnacentral:rRNA from 1 species
UACGUAGGUGGCGAGCGUUGUCCGGAUUUACUGGGCGUAAAGAGCGCGCAGGCGGUCGUUCAAGUCGCGUGUGAAAGCCCCCGGCUCAACUGGGGAGGGUCACGCGAUACUGAUCGACUCGAAGGCAGGAGAGGGAAGUGGAAUUCCCGGUGUAGUGGUGAAAUGCGUAGAUAUCUGGAGGAACACCGGUGGCGAAGGCGGCAUCCUGGACCGGCAUUGACGCUGAGGAGCGAAAGCCAGGGGAGCAAACGGG